CCCAGACUCCUACGGGAGGCAGCAGUGGGGAAUAUUGCACAAUGGGGGAAACCCUGAUGCAGCGACGCCGCGUGAGUGAAGAAGUAUUUCGGUAUGUAAAGCUCUAUCAGCAGGAAAGAAAAUGACGGUACCUGACUAAGAAGCCCCGGCUAACUACGUGCCAGCAGCCGCGGUAAUACGUAGGGGGCAAGCGUUAUCCGGAUUUACUGGGUGUAAAGGGAGCGUAGACGGUGAAGCAAGUCUGAAGUGAAAGGCGGGGGCUCAACCCCCGGACUGCUUUGGAAACUGUUUGACUGGAGUGCAGGAGAGGUAAGUGGAAUUCCUAGUGUAGCGGUGAAAUGCGUAGAUAUCAGGAGGAACACCGGCGGCGAAGGCGGCCUGCUGGACCGUAACUGACGUUGAGGCUCGAAAGCGUGGGGAGCAAACAGGAUUAGAUACCCGUGUAC
rnacentral:rRNA from 1 species